GUCAGUAACGCCCGAAGUCAGUGACCCAACCGCAAGGAGGGAGCUGCCGAAGGCGGGACCGAUAACUGGGGUGAAGUCGUAACAAGGUAGCCGUAUCGGAAGGUGCGGCUGGAUCACCUCCUUUCUAAGGAA
rnacentral:rRNA from 1 species